UACAGAGGUCCCAAGCGUUGUUCGGAUUCACUGGGCGUAAAGGGUGUGUAGGAGGUCAUUUAAGUCUGAUGUGAAAUCCCGUCGCUCAACGACGGAACUGCAUUGGAUACUAUUUGGCUAGAGGGUCUGAGGGGGAAGCGGAAUUCUUGGUGUAGCGGUGAAAUGCGUAGAUAUCGGGAGGAACACCUGUGGCGAAAGCGGCGCACUGGACCAUAACUGACGCUGAUGCGCGAAAGCUAGGGGAGCAAACAGG
rnacentral:rRNA from 1 species